AUUGAACGCUGGCGGCAUGCCUUACACAUGCAAGUCGAACGGUAACAGGUCUUCGGAUGCUGACGAGUGGCGAACGGGUGAGUAAUACAUCGGAACGUGCCUAGUAGUGGGGGAUAACUACUCGAAAGAGUGGAUAAUACCGAAUGAGAUCUACGGAUGAAAGCAGGGGAUCGCAAGACCUUGUGCUACUAGAGCGGCCGAUGGCAGAUUAGGUAGUUGGUGGGAUAAAAGCUUACCAAGCCGACGAUCUGUAGCUGGUCUGAGAGGACGAUCAGCCACACUGGGACUGAGACACGGCCCAGACUCCUACGGGAGGCAGCAGUGGGGAAUUUUGGACAAUGGGCGCAAGCCUGAUCCAGCAAUGCCGCGUGCAGGAUGAAGGCCUUCGGGUUGUAAACUGCUUUUGUACGGAACGAAAAGCCCUGGGUUAAUACCCUGGGGUCAUGACGGUACCGUAAGAAUAAGCACCGGCUAACUACGUGCCAGCCGCCGCAGUAACAC
rnacentral:rRNA from 1 species